AAUGUUUAAAGUGUUGGGUAAUUCAUAUGAGGAGAGAUUGAAGAGGUGAUUCAUGGCAUUUAUGUGAGAUAUCUGGGUGAUUCAUCAGGUAGGGGUCAAUGCAAACAUUUCCAUGGCCCAGAAAUCAAGCUAGUCCACUCUUCAGGUGGCUGCACAUGGAUGAGAAAGUUAUGACAAGAUGAUUGAAUAUAUUCCACAUAGACAUCUGGCCACCUGACGAGCAGACCAUCUUGCCUUUUGGCUCAGAGGGCCCCCACCUGAUCAAUGGCCCGGAUCCUUCAUAGAUGUACCCACUGAAACAUGUGCAGCAACUCCUGAAUUUCCUCAGCAUUCUAGUGAUGUUCUUCUGGAGCAUUCCACAACCGAUGUUAUUUAUCAUACUGCCAUUCAGUUUUUCAUAAUGGCUGGAUCAGCAAUGUGCACUUUUCAGAUUGAAAAUGUUAGGAAAGGAUAUUCUGUGAAGGGCUUGCAAAAUUUUCAUUGAAUGUGCUCAUAUUGACCUCAGAUUAAAGUUAAACAAAGCUGUUCAACAUUUUGAGCCACAUUGGACAUUGGCAGCAUUAUUUCUCCAGCAGUAACAAAGUGGAGAUAGAACAAAGUUUCAAAUGUAUGCAUAUUACAAAUGAAAAUGCAGCCAUCUUUCUGAUAAUCGACCCACCAAUACAAGAACUUGGGGUUUUAGUAUCUCAAACCACGAAUCUUUGUGAUUGAUACUCUCUAACAAUUUAUUUCUUUCUUUCUUUUUUAUUCUAAGAUACAGGAUUCUUAUACCACAUGUUUUUGUGUGAACCAAUUGUGCUUAUUGCUCUUGUUUGUGGCGUGAAUAACAGAAUUUAGGUGCUUUUGGUAGAGGAUAAUGCUUUCUUCUUGUUUUUUCUCUUCCUUAGAAAUGUUAUUUCUAUGCCUUCUUUGCAGGUCUGUAUGAUCUUCAUAUCUGGUCUUCCGACCAAUCUCAAAGAGAGAGAACUCCAGAACCAGGUGAGAUGGUUGCUGGGCUAUGAGGCUUCUCAGCUGAACUUCAAGGGUGAACAGCCAAUGGGCUUUGCCCUCUCCUCCACUGCCCAUCUUUCACUUGCUGCCAAAGCCGACAUUCAGGACAUGGUUUUUGAUGCAGAAUCCAAGUAUGUUCUUCACGCAGAGAUGGCAAAGAAUAAUCUUUUCGUCAAAAGAUGUGAUAUAAUUUGUCAAUUUAAGUUCAUACCUGUGGGGUCCAUGUUUGAGUGGUCUAAGCCGAUGAUAUAAUGUGCUCCAUUGCGGAUGAACAUUGCAAGGAAAUCUCCCAGGCCAUGACUGUCCAACAAGUUGAGGCACCUAUGGAUCUAAAGAAAGAGAUGGGAAGAUUAAUAUUUUAACAAAAGUUGCAAAUGGAUUAUUGCCACUACAAAAGCUUUAUCCAAGCAGAAUCUACCAAAAUCACUAGGAAAUUGAUUUGGGUUUGUUUUGGAUUUUUGGGUUUUUAAUUCCAAUUGCAUAAUCCAAUGCAAUCAUUCCAUAUAGGUUUUCUUUCUGUUUUUUCACAAUGAUUGAUUGCUUUUAUUUAGCUGGACGUUGAAAAGGGAACUGGUGACCAACUAGCUGCUAGUGCAUUCAAAGGGCCUGUUUUCACCCAUGCAGAUGUCAAGCCUGAUAUGGUGGUGAAGGCAAAGGUGCUUUUUUUUUUUUUCUGCAUUCAUUGUUACUUCUGUUUUGCUGACAGUCUUCAAGCCACUCUUUGUUCUGUUUGUAAUGGUAUUAACACUUGAUUUAU